rnacentral:rRNA from 1 species
GACGAACGCUGGCGGCGUGCUUAACACAUGCAAGUCGAACGCUGAAGCGCAGCUUUUGCUGUGGAUGAGUUGCGAACGGGUGAGUAACACAUGAGUAACCUGCCCUCUUCUUUGGGUUAACGCACUGAAACAGAUGCGAACACAGCACAUUCACUGAUUUUCACAGGGUGGUUGGUUGAAAGGUUUCGUCUUGUGGGUGAUGUGUUCGUGGCGCCUCAGCUUGUUGGUUGGGUGAUGACUUACCAAGGCUAUGACGCGUCGCCGACGUGGCAGGGUGAUCGGCCACACGGGAACUGAGACACGGACCAGACUCCUGCGGGAGGCAGCAGGAGGGAAUCUGCCGCAAUGGGCGGAAGCCUGACGGAGCAACGCCGAGUGAGGGAUGAAGGUCGUCGGAUCGGAAAACGGUGUUGUGAGGGAAGAACAAAUGUGGAAGGAACUAUGCACGGCUUGACGGUACCGAAUCAGAAAGCCACGGCUAACUACGUG